rnacentral:lncRNA from 1 species
AACACUUGCGAAGGACCAAUGUAGACUUCACUUACAUCAUAAGCAAAUUGCCCGCAAAUAAAAUCCCCUACAGUUUAGGAUAAUCACACAGGUUAUGCAAGAACAUAUUUAUGUCAGGAUAGGCCUACCAGGCUCCAAGUCUAACGUCACAUUCUCAAUCAGACAAAACAACUAUAACCUCAUUGGCAUAGCAAUCGCACCGUUUGUAGCUGCUACUAGCUGCAGUCUAUAUGCAUACUAGCUGGAGCACCAACCAGCCUUAUAAUUUUACACCGAUGAGGACUUAUUUAUGCAUGAAUAGGUUGAUUUGAGGUAAUAAAUGACUGAAGAUAUUACACAGUGUCCCUUUAAGGUCCUAACCUCCGAAAUACUCGGAAACUCUGAAUGUUUUGAAGGCACCAUUAGCGACAGUGGUGGAUCACAGUGAUGACGUAGUUUACAUCAUCAGUCGAGAAGACGUCACGUUCAGUGGGCGUGCUAUUUAAUUACCAGGAUUUUAAUAAUGUUCCAUGAUAAAGGCUAAUGAGUUUUGAAUUGUGUUGAAUGUAUUAACUGUAAAUACAAAAAUAGUUCAACAAUCAAAAUGAAGAAGAAAAGUGAGGAAACCAACAAAACACUUCCGGGUUAGCGAUGGCCUUUUAAAAUCUAGUGUGAUUUGCAAGGAAGUAAUAUAAUCAACGACAAUAUUUUUCAACAGGCUUAUAAAAAUUGGAAAUGACGUAAGUAAUAGUACAUUAAAUGUUGUAUAUUACUAUGCGUAGUACCAUGCUUCCGCCCCUAUGUACUGCUAAGUAUCACGUGACCUCUGGUAACGCAGCCAAUGACGCACAGAUAUCAUCACAGCGACGGUUAUAUCAAAUUUCCUAUCGAGUUGAUAUGAAGAGUCUUCCGUACUUCUGCCGGGGAGAAGUCGUCUGAGCCCUUGGGCCCCUGGGCAUGUGCCCGGUGUGCCCGUGCAGUAAUCCACCCAUGUGUGUAAGGAUGCUACCAGCGUAUGUCUCGUAUGGUGUGGAAUGAGAGCUCGUGAAGGGACUAUUGCGCAAGCACGCUGGAGCGCUUGGGGCGCGCCUGUGCUUGCGCAAUAGCAUACUGCCUGAGAAGGCAGUAUCGCUGUCAAAUCUGUCCCUGGGAAAAGUAACUGUUUCGUUACCAUAUUUUCAGUAGUUGUGCGUAACUUUACUUUUUACACGAAAAAGAAGGUAGGUUACUGUAUUAAUGUGUCACUUUGUUACGCGUUACACACAACCAGGGUUGCCGCGGAUCUUCAAAAGUGUUAGAAGUCAUUAAA